rnacentral:rRNA from 1 species
CCCUGGGUAAGUCGGGACCUAAGGCGAGGCCGACAGGCGUAGUCGAUGGACAACGGGUUGAUAUUCCCGUACCGGCAAAGAACCGCCAAUACUGAAUCUGGUGAUGCUAAACGCUUGAAGCGUGGAUUGGUCUUCGGACCGGCCUACGUGGAGCGCGUGAACCGACCUAGUACUAGGUAAGCAAUGGGGUGACGCAGGAAGGUAGCCACCGCGUGGCGAUGGUAGUCCACGUCCAAGGGUGUAGGGCGAGAUGUAGGCAAAUCCGCAUCUCAUGAGCCUGAGACCUGAUGGUGACCGCGAAUGCGGGAAGCAGGGUGAUCCUAUGCUGCCAAGAAAAGCCUCUAGCGAGGUUCGAGCCGCCCGUACCCUAAACCGACUCAGGUGGUCAGGUAGAGAAUACCAAGGCGAUCGAGCGAAUCAUGGUUAAGGAACUCGGCAAAAUGCCCCCGUAACUUCGGGAGAAGGGGGGCCUGAGGAGUGAAGCCGCUAGCCGGCUAGCUCUUGAAGGCCGCAGAGACCAGGG